rnacentral:rRNA from 1 species
GCAAGGUUGAAACUCAAAGGAAUUGACGGGUCUCCGCACAAGCGGUGGAGCAUGUUGUUUAAUUCGAAGAUACGCGAAGAACCUUACCAGGUCUUGACAUCUUCUUGAUCGCUAUAGAGAUAUAGUUUCCCUUCGGGGCAAGAAUGACAGGUGGUGCAUGGUUGUCGUCAGCUCGUGUCGUGAGAUGUUGGGUUAAGUCCCGCAACGAGCGCAACCCCUAUUAAUAGUUGCUAACAUUAAGUUGAGGACUCUAUUGAGACUGCCAGUGAUAAACUGGAGGAAGGUGGGGAUGACGUCAAAUCAUCAUGCCCCUUAUGACCUGGGCUACAAACGUGCUACAAUGGCCAGUACAGAGAGUUGCCAAACCGCAAGGUGGAGCUAACCUCCAAAACUGGUCUCAGUUCGGAUUGAAGUCUGCAACUCGACUUCAUGAAGUUGGAAUCGCUAGUAAUCGUGGGUCAGAAUACCACGGUGAAUACGUUCUCGGAGAUUGUACACACCGCCCGUCAUACCAUGAGAGUUUGUAACACCCGAAGUGUGUGGCCUAACCAGCUUGCUGGAGGGAGCACCCUAAGGUGGGAUAGAUGAUUAGGGUAAAGUCGUAACAAGGUA